rnacentral:ncRNA from 1 species
CGGGAAUGCAGCCUCCCGGCCUGAAAAGACAGACGGUGUCCCGUCCAAGCGCUG